rnacentral:rRNA from 1 species
ACUCCUACGGAGGCAGCAGUGGGGAAUAUUGGACAAUGGGCGCAAGCCUGAUCCAGCAAUGCCGCGUGGGUGAAGACGGCCUGCGGGUUGUAAAGCCCUUUAGGCGGGGAAGAACGACGUCGUGUAAACAAUGCGGCGUUCUGACAUUACCCGCGGAAUAAGCACCGGCUAACUCCGUGCCAGCAGCCGCGGUAAU